CAGUAGCCGCGGUAAGACAGAGGAUGCAAGCGUUAAUCGGAUUUACUGGGCGUAAAGCGUGCGUAGGCGGCUUUUUAAGUCGGAUGUGAAAUCCCUGAGCUUAACUUAGGAAUUGCAUUCGAUACUGGGAAGCUAGAGUAUGGGAGAGGAUGGUAGAAUUCCAGGUGUAGCGGUGAAAUGCGUAGAGAUCUGGAGGAAUACCGAUGGCGAAGGCAGCCAUCUGGCCUAAUACUGACGCUGAGGUACGAAAGCAUGGGGAGCAAACAGGAUUAGAUACCCCUGUAGUCCCUGUCUCUUAUAC
rnacentral:rRNA from 1 species